rnacentral:lncRNA from 8 species
GCAUCCUCCUCUUCGCCUGUCUCUGUGGCCCCUCCCUUCAAAGGCAUAACCUCUCCUAAUCCCCCUCCCCCGGUUUCCGUGGAGACGGCUCAGCCGAGCAGGUGACGCAUUGACAGGGAGCAGAUGGUUGCCCGUGGAGGCACCUUGUUAUCUGUCCUUUGUCAGUAAGGCCAUCUUGUGGGAUCGAGGACUCUACCACUACACAGACCACACUGUCCGUGAUGGACAUCCUUCUCUGUGUCCUCGUUUCCUGGUUCACAUGAAGACCUGUCCUGCAGACCUCAGACCCCCACGUUUCCUAUCCAGUAACCCCAGACCACGUCCUCCUCGCCGGGAACCGACACAACAAAGACAAGCCCUUAGUGGCCUGAAGACGCAUUCAUGUGCAGACUCCAGGAGCAGGAGCCUGCAGCACUGCAGCACCACCAGAGGGAGGCGCUUAGCUGUUGUUGUUCCCUGUGUUCCAGUGCCAGUCUCCCCCCCUCCCAGCAGAGCCUCCCCUGAGCUCCCAGUCUGCCCAAGUCCAACAUCCUCCACUGUCACUGACUCUGAGCAGCAAGGGACUGGAUCCAUCCCUGCUCCAGCCUCAGCCCUGCCUCAUGUCCAUACUCAGAAAGGAGAGAAGGAAACAGAGGAUGGUGUUAAAGAGAUGGGUGGGGGCACUUCGGCUUCCUCAGGGGCCUUCCGCCCUCCAAGGCCAGACCAAGAUCCCAAUUCUGGUCCUGAGGACAUAGACCCCUCAGUUUCUCCAAUCCCUAGUGUCUGUGAGGAUUCUCUCUCAGACUUUAGCCGCCCACCAUCCAGCCAGUUCAGCCGAAGCACAGACCUGGGUAGUGGCCGGAGCAGUCCUCUAUGUGCGAAUCUGAGUGACCUGGACUCAGAGGGUGGCUCUCCUCUCUCCCAGCAUGGUUCCUCUUCCAUGUCCCUGUCUGCUCUGGCCUCCUGCACCCCACAGGACCCCCCAACACACAAGCCCCCAAACCCAGCCCCUCACCACCCUCUACACCAUCCCCUCCCUCACCAGGCCCAACACUGCCCACCUGACUGGACCACCACGGAGCCCCAGCCAGGCCAUGUACCCCCACCCUACCCAGACCCAGACCCAUUCCUGGAGCCCAACCCAGACCCUACUACCCUAGCUUUCCCCUCAGACACCUGGCAGUCCUGCCCCAGCCCACAGUGCAGGAUAACUCCCCGGCCAGGGUUAGGGUCAGGUUUGACCUCAUCUCCUGUGGUGGUGGAGAGGCAGGACUGGACAUCACACCGCUGGUCCGUCCUUCCCCCCAUCUCUCCUGUCAGAGAUGGCAGUGACACAGUGUCCUCCUGGUCCCGCUGUUCUCAGGUCAGCUCUAGCCAGUCCCAUGUGUUUGAUGAACUGGAGGCCAUCGCCCCGCGGACCAGCUCCUGUCUGUCCCUAGACCACCCACUCAGCCCAGCAGACUGCAGCCCACCUGGUACAGAGAUGUCCCCAGGCCUGGCUGCUCUGACAGUGGGCUGUGACUCAGGGGACCUGGGCUCCCUGUCCCGUGUGCAGCUCCUGCUCCUGGACCGGUCGGACCCUGUGGAGCCCCACUGGCUCGCUGGUCAGGACAAGUACUCCCCAACAGAAGACAGAACAACAGACCUCACGGCGGAGCUCCGAGCCAGAAGACCUCUUAGUCCAAGACUGUACACUACAGACGUCCUGCAGCCCCUCACAGCUGGCAGCUGUGGAGACGGCAGUGUGUCUGAGAGGUGUGUCGCCACAGGCAAAGUCCAGGAACAGGGUGAGCACACAAUGUCCCACACCAAGGAUGGUUCCAGGUCACCAUCGUCAUGGAUCAGUGACUCCAGCCCAUCAGGCAUCAUAUCCGGGUCCACCAGUUCCCAAUGCGAGUCCUGCUGUGAUGGGGAGGAGUCCGAGGGAAGUGACCAAACCAGCCAGGCCCUUACCUCCUUAAAUGACAGGCAUAAGGGCCCCAGCCCAGACCAGGGGGUUCCAGUGAAGGAGGAGCCUGGUUGCCCUGAUCGGGGGGAGCGAGGCUGGGCUUCCACAGUGGGCAGGAGAAGACCCGGGAGGCUGGAGCGCAGGAUGCGGGAGAAGGAGCGAAAAAGGGAGGAGAGAAAGACAAAGGUGCUAAACAUCUACUCCAGACUCCAGGACAGCGGGCCCCUUCAGCCCAGCCGCAACAGGGGCCGCUCCAAGUUUGAGGACUUCGACUUCUUGGCAAAGUAUUGCAUUUUCAGCCAGGAGAAGCUGGCAGAAUACAAAAGGGCUUUUGAAGCAGUAAGUGAAAGGGGAUUUAAACCCUCUCUGUUCACACUAUGCCUCAGAUACACUCCCUCUUUCUUCCUGGUUUUCUGUCUCUCUCUUUCUCUAGAUCUUACUCUCUCUCUCUCUCCUUUUCACUCUCGUGAUUCUAACUUUGCUUACAUGAAGAUGUUGUUGUUGGUGAUGAUAAUGUUGAUGAUGAUCCCUUCAGGUUGA